AGGGAAUAUUGGUCAAUGGAUGCAAGUCUGAACCAGCCAUGCCGCGUGCAGGAAGAAGGCGUUAUGCGUUGUAAACUGCUUUUGCCAGGGGAUAAAAUAACUGUGCGCAGUUAAUUGAAGGUACCUGGUGAAUAAGCCACGGCUAACUACGUGCCAGCAGCCGCGGUAAUACGUAGGUGGCAAGCGUUGUCCGGAUUUAUUGGGUUUAAAGGGUGCGUAGGUGGCCCUGUAAGUCAGUGGUGAAAUAUCUCAGCUUAACUGAGAGGGUGCCAUUGAUACUGCAGGGCUUGAGUACAGAUGAGGUAGGCGGAAUGGACGGUGUAGCGGUGAAAUGCAUAGAUAUCGUCCAGAACACCGAUAGCGAAGGCAGCUUACUAAGCAGUAACUGACGCUGAGGCACGAAAGUGUGGGGAUCAAA
rnacentral:rRNA from 1 species